rnacentral:tRNA from 1 species
UUAAAGCUAAGCUACAGGUUUAAAUCCCGUAAAUUUCU